rnacentral:rRNA from 1 species
UACGUAGGGGGCAAGCGUUGUCCGGAAUCAUUGGGCGUAAAGCGCGUGUAGGCGGCUCGGUAAGUCCGCUGUGAAAGCCCGGGGCUCAACCCUGGGAUGCCGGUGGAUACUGUCGAGCUCGAGUCCGGAAGAGGCGAGUGGAAUUCCUGGUGUAGCGGUGAAAUGCGCAGAUAUCAGGAGGAACACCAAUGGCGAAGGCAGCUCGCUGGGACGUGACUGACGCUGAGACGCGAAAGCGUGGGGAGCAAACAGG